UGUGGGGGACAACUGUGUUGAAGGCGGAGCUGUAUUCAAUGGGUAGCUCAUAGCAAAGGUGUAGUCAGUUUCUAUUUGCUUCGAUUCUCAGCUCAGCUCUCCCAAAGAGCCGACCACACACUCCAGUCUAGAAGGUGGCGGUAAUGCACCUAAAGGUGUUUGCCAACCGCCAUUAAACAACUGAAGAAGAAGAAGAAGAAGACCCCACUGACAGGUGAAGAGAAUAACAGUGAUUAUUUUGUUACAGAGGCACCUGUCAGUGUGCUGGUUAUAUAAGGCAGCAAGUGAACAUUGACUCCCUUGAUGCUGAUGUGUUGGAAGCAGGAAAAAUGGGAAAGUGUCAAAAUUUGAGUGACUUUGACAAGGGCCACACUGUGGUGGUGAUAUGUCUUUUGCUCGGAGGUGACAGACCUGCUGAGUACAUCAACGCCCAGUGAAGAAGAUAACCUAAAAUGUUGUGGGCUUUCACUACAAACCUCCAGAUAAUUCAGAUUGCUUGAUGGCAAUGAAGCCAGCAGAAGGAUGACCUCAGCAGUACAGCCUUUUCUUUGGACUUGCCACCAGUAAUUUAGAGAGGGCUUUCAACAUUUGGCAAUCCUUAACCAGAUGUCAUUCUGUGGCUAAUCAGCAGCAACACUGAGGACAUGCAUAGAGACAGGGAAGUUUGUUUAUAAAUGCACCAUUUAUUAUUGAAAUCAAAGCUUUACAGAACUUUUUUUUGCAGCCAUCCCAGCUCAACCAGCUGCUUAUGAAGACUGUCUCCAUAACUGUGGUCCAGGCACAUGCAGUGAAAUGGCAUGGAGAAAAAUGUGAGGUACUCUGCUUCGAUGGCCCCACCAGUAGAGAUUUCACAUCUCAAGCCAAAACC